rnacentral:miRNA from 1 species
GUGAGAAAAAGUAGUAAAUUAAGCA